rnacentral:lncRNA from 1 species
GGGCUGUCUGUGUGCAGGAGGUGGGAAGGGUUUAGCUGAAGGUCUGAAGCUCACUGCAGUGUCCCAUGCAAGUGUCCAUAUCAGGAGGACAGAUGAUCUGUGAUGGAAGGCUGAAGAGUUUGUGCUGGAAGCCAGGAAAUGAUAUCCAAGAAGGUGAAGACUGGAUUUCCUCCUAAGAAACAGAAGGUGUUCAAAAACUAAAGUUUGGAAGUUUGGAGACUAAAACUAGAAAGGUAACUGGGCUAUGAGGACAGCCAAUAUUUUAGCCCUGGUCCCUCAAGGUCAACAAAAAUCCAGGACACAAAGGAACCUGUCCUACAGGAUUCUAUAUCUUUGCUGUUCUGUUUUCCUGUACCUCAACUGGAGCCGACAUUAUCAGAACACCACCUGCUACCACCACUGCAGCUGAGAGUCUGUCAGCAGUUCCAGGAGGAAGACACACCCUUCCAGAGCAGCUGGGAACUCCCUCUGGGGCAGAGCAAACCAAGUCCAUGGCUCAGUCUAUGUACACAGAGCAAAGUGAAGAUACCCUACUACUAACUCAGUUCCAAGCAGGAACAUUCCUGGGUUUGCAAAGCACUGUUAAUGUUAUG